AACGCUAGCUACAGGCUUAACACAUGCAAGUCGAGGGGUAACAAGAGGAAAGCUUGCUUUUCUCGUUGACGACCGGCGCACGGGUGAGUAACGCGUAUCCAACCUGCCCACCACUUGGGGAUAACCUUGCGAAAGUAAGACUAAUACCCAAUGAUAUCUCUAGAAGACAUCUGAAGGAGAUUAAAGAUUUAUCGGUGAUGGAUGGGGAUGCGUCUGAUUAGCUUGUUGGCGGGGUAACGGCCCACCAAGGCUACGAUCAGUAGGGGUUCUGAGAGGAAGGUCCCCCACAUUGGAACUGAGACACGGUCCAAACUCCUACGGGAGGCAGCAGUGAGGAAUAUUGGUCAAUGGGCGAGAGCCUGAACCAGCCAAGUAGCGUGCAGGAUGACGGCCCUAUGGGUUGUAAACUGCUUUUAUAAGGGAAUAAAGUGAGCCUCGUGAGGCUUUUUGCAUGUACCUUAUGAAUAAGGACCGGCUAAUUCCGUGCCAGCAGCCGCGGUAAUACGGAAGGUCCGGGCGUUAUCCGGAUUUAUUGGGUUUAAAGGGAGCGUAGGCCGGAGAUUAAGCGUGUUGUGAAAUGUAGACGCUCAACGUCUGCACUGCAGCGCGAACUGGUUUCCUUGAGUACGCACAAAGUGGGCGGAAUUCGUGGUGUAGCGGUGAAAUGCUUAGAUAUCACGAAGAACUCCGAUUG
rnacentral:rRNA from 1 species